CCGCCUCUGUCUCCCCUGACUUAGGGUUGCGUGGUGCGGCUUACUUCCCCUGGCCUCCCGCAGACCGGAAAGCCUCUGCAGUAUCUCCAGCAAAGCUGCAGCCGCGUCAGUGACACUGCUGCGCUAAACCCCGCCCCAUCCUCUUUGUUUUGUGCCCUUGCCACGCGCUGAGCUCAGCCUCUCUCAUGGACCCGCGCAAUUAGGGUUUCAACCUUGCUGGUUGCAGCCGCCAUGAACUGCGAUCCCGCCAUGCCACCCUGCCUUGGAGCCAACUGAGCAUGGACUGAAACCUCCAAAAACUAUAAGAAAUAAACCUUUCCUUUCCCAACUUUGGGCAUCAGGUAUCUGAUAUCUGCUGCAUCUUGCGUGGGUGACAUCACACCUGCUUCAAAUGAAACAUUCGUGUCUGGAGCUAGAGGUCAGAAGGGUGCGAUCUCAUGGAACUUCUAGACCAUUGGAGGAAUAUCCAAAGGCCGUUUCGUGGAAAAGCUAAUGUACAGCCAAGACAAAGCCUGAUUGUGAUUCGUUCAGGAGGAAGGACAGAUUCAGGCUAACACAGGAGCACUAAUGCCAAGCCCUGCUGCAGCCUAUGCAAAGCGCUCAAGUAACAACGGAGCCCACCUCUGUCACUUUUUGCCUUACCCCUGCCUGGGGACAAGGUUGGAGCUGGGCAUAAGCUGGUACAGCAUGGAGACAGGAUUCCUCGGUCUGCUGCUUCCACCUUGAUAAUUCACUGGCCAACUUCCCUUUGCCUGUAGCCAGCCUAGAGUCUCUUGUUGUGUCUUAAUAAAUUUUAAUUAUUCCC